AAGAUCUUCAGCACAAAUUUGAUGACCUUCAGAAAAAGUGGGCACAUAAUCUGGAUAGAAUGGAGAAGCUUUCAGCUACUGUGGAUGAUAUUUGUGAAAAACUUGAUAAGUGUGAACAUGACAAA